AAGAUUAUACUUCACAGAAUCAUUUCUGUAGUAUAUCUUCCUUUCUCUCUACUCAACAGUAGAAUAGAAAACUCCACGAUGAUGAGGUGUAAUCCUCUUCCCUGAGCGUGAGGCCGACUUCAGUGGACAUUGCCCGUUUGCCCGUCAUGUCCCUGAGUCAUCGAUGACCGUUCUUUGGAUCUUCGGGUUCAAGAUGGGAAGGGGAUAACCUGAGUGGC